ACACCUGAGGCUCGGAGCAGCUCAGUCAUUCAGCCCAGCUCAAAUCCUGGCCCAGCACCCACACCUCCUCCCGCCCCCCCAACACACAGAUACAAAUACUUAUCACGUGACCCAGGACACUCUAAGCCGUGCUGAGAUACCACAUCUGGCCGUGCGCCUUUAAGAAGGGGUGGCAGACCAAGGUCUCCACUAACAGCUGCCAGCGAGGGAAGUGGUCUGAGUUUCUGAGCUCGUGAACAACAGAGACUAGAGGAGCCUGCCAAGGCUAGACUCGAACCCGGGACCUUGCAGGAGUGAGAGGCCUAGAGGAAUGAGCUCCCGCCCACAGCUCUCACCCAUGCCGCACCCGUCUCCCAGGACCCUGCAGAGAAACGAAGAAAGCUUGAAACAAAACUGUAUUGAGGUCCCCAAGAUCCUGUGAGAUCACGCAGGAUCCCUCAGGAUGCUCCACCAUGAGAAAGCUCUGAAAGGUCCUGCCUGGAAGGCUCUGUGCUCCCAGGGACACUAUCGGUCCCAGGCUGGUCCACAGCCUGCCUCCACCUUGCUCACCCAUUGCCUCAAGCCUGAUGGAAGGAAGGGCGAAAAUGAAACCAACCUAUCUUCAUCAGAGUGAGGAAGACCUUCCAGCCAGGUGACUGCAGUUCCCUACACUUGCCAAUCCUAAGUACUGAAGUUUACAGAGACGAGCUCAGAAUCAUCCUUCAACACUACUCUUCUUCGUCAGUUAUUUUCACUUCACAAGACUGAGUGAGGACCGAGGAGAUGGUUCAGCAGGUAAAGAAAGGCCCUUGCUGCCCAGCCUGAUGGCCUAGGUUGAGCCCUCUGACCCCGCGUUGGGGGAGGGGAGAACCAACUGACCUCCACAAGUUCCACACCUGCGCAAAUAAAUAAAGGUUAAAAAAUGUUCAAGAAAGAGAAAAAGAUGGACGGAUGCCAACCUUGGGUAAGCUAAAGGGACCUUCCCUACAGAGUGCUUCUCCCAUGAACAGACACAGGCAUGGAGUAGCCAAGAGGCCACCGAGCACGGCAGAGGAAGGGUGGACCCGGGUGGGACCUUUCCCAUCCACCCCUUGAAAGGCCUGAGCCAUCACGGAAAUCCUCUCCAGACCUGGGGACUGGAGGAAAUAGCACCUGGCGCUGCCCCUGCCCUCAGAAUCUCGAGGUCAUGUCACUGAGCACGCUGCUGGUACCUGCCACGCCGGCGAGCAACCCCUCGGCUUCCUGGAAGGCUCAGCCCGGACUCUGUGACAGGAGCCCUGGAUUCCUAGAAUGAAGGUGCAGGGCCGAUGGGCCGGGAGCCAUCCUGGCCAUCCCCCCCCCUCCCCCCACCACAGUAAGUUCACUGCAGUCAAUGCCCCAGCUGAAGGGAACGUGGAAUAGGUGCCCUUUCCAGGGUUCACUGCAGUCAAUGCCCCAGCUGAAGGGAACGUGGAAUAGGUGCCCUUUCCAGGUUGCUCCCAUUUGGGACGGCGUCCACACUCCACUAGGAACACACGGGCCCGCCUUGGAGGUGAAGCUCCUGACUCAAAAUUCAGAGGCAGUGUUAGAACAAGAGACAGCCAAGAUUGUACUAGAGGAAGAUCUGGAGGCCACCUCCAUUUCCAAAUGCUAACAUGCCCACAUCCCUCCCUGCACAGCCGGAAAAACUGCAUUUGAUGCUGCCGUCAUCUCCGCAUUGGACCGAAACAUGAUAAAAAACACGAGGUGGUUUGCACAACUCCUGUAUAGGGACAAACACACCUCCAACGCCUUCUGGUUGAAGUCAUGGACAAAGGAAGUCCCAGACGGAAGAUUCUGGGAAGCCAGGUGGUGGGGUUCUCCAACGGACCUGGGAGCAGGAAGCGGACUUUGAGCCAUUAUCUUGUCCUCUGCAAGCUGCGGCGUCACUGGCCAUAGACCUGUGCCACAAGCACACAGCCGGGAAUGGAGAAUGCAGUCAGGGGCUAAGUGCACCUGACGCUGCAGCCGCCUACCCUCGUUCCUGAGCUGUUAGAAGAGGUUCGCUGGAAAGUGCAUCUCCUGGAAAGCCGCGUGUGACUGAAGGCAUUUCAGAUAACCCCCUCAAACACUUCCUUCUCAGGCUGAGGGUGCAGCUCUUGCUUAGUGUUUCCAGGGCCCUGGGCAGUCUCCCCGCCCUCCUCCCUUCCUUCCCGGUGACCUUAGAGUUAUGAUCUAGGCAGAGGGUUGACAGUGGCAAGAUCAUUGAGCUCUGUCAUCGGGCUGACGUGAGUUCAAUCCUCGCUCAGUUAUCCAUGACCCUGAGGUUGUGUGUUCUCACCUGCCUUUUCACCAUGUGGUUGAAAAAAAAUGAUAAUGCUAGGAUCCCAGCAAAAUGGUUUGCUUGUCACCCCCACUCCCACCCCGUUGUCUCUGGUGUGCUUUACAGGGACAGAGUUGAGACUGUAGCCCACUCGGAGUGUAACUCACACAGCCCAGGCUGUCCUGGAACCUGUGGAAAUCCUCUUCCUCAACCUCUGUGGGGCUGGAUGACAGAUGUGACCCCCACUUGGCUGACCCUUCUAACCAACUACUUCCUGUCAGGGAUGGUGCCUCACUCCCGUGAUCCCAUACAGAGGCCGGAGUGCUGAAGUUUCAGGCAAACCCCAGGUCUACACAUUGGGUUCCAGGACAGCCAGAACUACCUCAUGAGACCUUGUCUCAAAAAAAAAA